rnacentral:rRNA from 1 species
UACGUAGGGGGCAAGCGUUGUCCGGAAUCAUUGGGCGUAAAGAGCGUGUAGGCGGCCCGAUAAGUCCGCUGUGAAAGUCCAGGCUCAACCCUGGGAUGCCGGUGGAUACUGUCGGGCUCGAGUCCGGAAGAGGAGUGUGGAAUUCCUGGUGUAGCGGUGAAAUGCGCAGAUAUCAGGAGGAACACCAAUGGCGAAGGCAGCACUCUGGGACGUGACUGACGCUGAGACGCGAAAGCGUGGGGAGCAAACAGG